AUGAACGCUAGCGACAAGGCCUAACACAUGCAAGUCAGGGGCAGCACAAGGAGCAAUCUGAGGUGGCGACCGGCGCACGGGUGAGUAACACGUAUGCAACCUGCCUGUAAGCGGGGAAUAACCCGUUGAAAGACGGACUAAUACCGCAUAAUACUAAAUUACUGCAUGGUAAUUUAUUUAAACAUUUAUGGCUUACAGAUGGGCAUGCGCAUGAUUAGCUAGUUGGAGAGGUAACGGCUCCCCAAGGCAACGAUCAUUAGGGGUUCUGAGAGGAAGGUCCCCCACACUGGUACUGAGACACGGACCAGACUCCUACGGGAGGCAGCAGUGAGGAAUAUUGGUCAAUGGACGAGAGUCUGAACCAGCCAAGUCGCGUGCAGGAAGAAUGUCCCUAUGGAUUGUAAACUGCUUUUGCAGGGGAAUAAAGUGCAUCACGUGUGAUGUUUUGUAUGUACUCUGCGAAUAAGGAUCGGCUAACUCCGUGCCAGCCGCCGC
rnacentral:rRNA from 1 species